GGACGGGUCGUAAACGAGUGAGGAACAUCCCUAGGGGGGGGAUACCGGCAACGGCGGGUAUACGGUACGCUCAUUCGGGGGCAUCCCGGAUUAGGAAAGCAGCAAUGCACCGAUUGAGUGCCUCGCGGCCUAUCAGCUAGUUUGGUGGGGUCAUGGCCACCAAGGGCGACGACGGGUAGCUGGUCUUGAGGAGGGAGUUAGUCAGGCCAGCAUUUGGGACUGAGGACAGCGGCCCAGAGCUCCUACGGGAGGGCAGGCAGUGGGGGAAUCUUGCGCAAUGGCCGGAAAGGCUGGACGCACGGACGCCGCGUGUGGGGAUGGACGGCCUUCGGGUUGUAANACCGACUGUCGGGAAGGGGACGGAAUGCCCCGCGAAGGGGGAGUGGACGGUACCUUCAAGAGGGAAGCGACCGGCUAACUCCGUGCCAGCAGCCGCGGUAAUACGGAGGGUGCGAGCGUUGUCCGGAAUCACUGGGCGUAAAGGGCGCGUAGGCGGCCCGGUAAGGUAGGGGGGUGAAAUCUUGCGGGUUCAACCGGAAGGGUUUGCCUUCUAGGAGCUUGCCAGGGGUCGAGGCAGCAGGUUAGAAGGGCAGGGUUGGA
rnacentral:rRNA from 1 species